ACCGGCAUAAAAAAAGGAAGAAAUAUCGAAAACCACUGAGGAAAUAGAAAGCUUAUACAAGUAUCUAGACUGAGCACCCACUUCAGUAGGCAACACUACAGAAACAGAGAGAAGGUGACAAUACACCUAACAUCUUAUGGUAGCCUUUUAUGAUGGGGAACACCCCACCACACUCAUCAAUCAUUUCAACUCCCUCUCUUUCCUUCUUCCUCCAAAUGUCAACUCUUCUACUUCUCUUCAUUUUUCUUCUCAAUCAUCACUAUUUAUAAGGCUUAGUUUAACUGACUGUUUGCCAUUAUUUAAAAAAUAAAAUAUCAAUUUAAGGGUAUGUUUAACUGACUGUUUGCCAUUACAUACAUAUAUAUUAUGGAGCUCUGUCAGUGAAACAUUGAUGACAGGUUGAUGCAGCCCAUUUUAUUAUUGGUUUAUUCACUAUUAAACAAUGACAUUUAUUGGUCUAUUUAUAUGAAUUUUAAGUUGGUGCAGUCCAUUUAAGAUAAAUUCUUUUUCUUCCCUCCCAAAAUGCUGUUAUUGGUCACAGGUUUGAUGGUAAGAAGUUGUUGGACAGAGACACAGGAAAGAAGAUAAUGUUUGUGGGGGACUCCUAAGUAACAAGCAGCGCCAGUCAAUCACUUCUUUGCUUCACAUUGCUCAUCCUCAAAUAUGAGUUUCUUAUUAACGAUCACUAAUCGGGAUCUGCUCAUCCUCUCACUAUAUUUUUUUCACAACACACACAGCAAGUUCAUGUGUUUUCAUUUCCGGAUUACAUAACUUCAAUCAUGUGCUUGAAGAAUGGGUUCUUAGUGGAUUUGACUAUUGAUAAAGCAAAAGGCAGGAUUUUGAGGUUGGACAGAAUAAGCUGUGGGGAUCAGUGGAAAGGAGUUAAUGUUUUCAUUUUCAAUUCUUACCGUAGUUGGUCUCACACAGGACACUAAGCAUAAUGAAAAUCCUUAGAUUUGAGCUACCUUUUUUAUGCUUUAUCAGAGGACGUAACCAUGUGGCUAAUGGUUUCAAUUUAAUGAUAUUAAACGUGUUCCAACUACACAAAACAAUCAAACCUUAGGUGGAAUACUAAUUCUGCACUACAUAUAGUCCAUAGUUUUCUAGUUUCAUACUAGACCAUAUAUAAAGUGAUUUAAACACAAAUGAAUGUUCAAGCAACUUUGUUUCAUGAUUAUCAUUGUCUUUAAACUCUAAAAUGAGUUCAAAAAAACCCUACCAACAUAUCCAUGAAUGCCUUUUUAACACACUAAACACAAUCACAUUUUAAUUUAUAACAUAUAAAAAAAUGCUAAUAAAAACAUAAAUAUGAACUUAGAUGAGAAAUUACAAAAAAAUAAUGACUAUGUACAGUACACAAGUGUGGGAGUGGAUGGAGGCCAGAAUUACAUAGCAUAGAUUGAUGCAACCAAAGUCCAAAAAAAAAUUAGAAAGGGGGAAGUUGAAGGGGGCCACACCCAUGAAUUGUUUCACAAAUUCACUCAGAGAAGAAAAGUAGACACAUCCAAAAUACCACCCUCUGUCAACAAUGCUGCUUCACGUUUCUACCACUCAUAACCCACGAGGACCAAAUUGUCAUCAAACUCAUUACUUUUCCCCUAACAAUUAUUAUUAUCUCAACCACAUCUCCUUCUUUUACCAACAAAACCCGUGCUUUAGUAUACACAUUACCAUACACAUUUCCUCAUAAUUAUUAGGAUUAUUAUCAAUAUAUAUAAUAACGUAAAAGUAAACACCAACAAAUCUUCUAAUUAGCUAACACUUGAUUCUCAAACAGAGGCUGUGCCACUAAAAGAACCCUCCUACAGUAUAAUGACAAUGCUUAACACCCCUCCAUCCUUUUCUUUUUUGCCCUAUUCUGGAAGCUUUUUCAUGAUUUCACAUUGCAGCAUUUGAUUUAGUAAAUAUUUACAGCCAAAAACUGAGAAUGACAGUCACAUUAGGUCCUUUUAAGAGGAUUCUGAAGGGAAAGCUUGUGGAAUAAUGGUGAUGAUGAAAACUUUCUAGAAAAGUGUCUGAAA
rnacentral:sRNA from 1 species